rnacentral:rRNA from 1 species
UACGUAGGGUCCGAGCGUUGUCCGGAAUUAUUGGGCGUAAAGAGCUCGUAGGCGGUCUGUCGCGUCGGUUGUGAAAACCUGGGGCUCAACUCCAGGCCUGCAAUCGAUACGGGCAGACUAGAGUUCGGUAGGGGAGACUGGAAUUCCUGGUGUAGCGGUGAAAUGCGUAGAGAUCGGGAGGAACACCAGUGGCGAAGGCGGCGACCUGGACCUGUGCUGACGCUGAGGCGCGAAAGCGUGGGGAGCGAUCCGG